UGCCAGCCGCCGCGGUAAUACGAAGGGACCUAGCGUAGUUCGGAAUUACUGGGCUUAAAGAGUUCGUAGGUGGUUGAAAAAGUUAGUGGUGAAAUCCCCGGGCUCAACCUGGGAACUGCGUUUAAUACUAGCAAGCUAGAGAAAUAGAGAGGAAAGUGGAACUCCCAGUGUAGAGGUGAAAUUCGUAGAUAUUGGGAAGAACACCAGUGGCGAAAGCGACUUUCUGGCUAUUUUCUGACGCUGAGGAGCGAAAGCGUGGGGAGCAAACAGGAUUAGAUA
rnacentral:rRNA from 1 species